CACGUAGGGGGCAAGCGUUGUCCGGAUUUAUUGGGCGUAAAGAGCUCGUAGGUGGUUCAGUAAGUCGAGUGUGAAACCUCCAGGCUCAACCUGGAGACGCCACCCGAUACUGCUGUGACUAGAGUCCAGUAGGGGAGCACGGAAUUCCUGGUGUAGCGGUGAAAUGCGCAGAUAUCAGGAGGAACACCAGUGGCGAAGGCGGUGCUCUGGGCUGGAACUGACACUGAGGAGCGAAAGCGUGGGGAGCGAACAGG
rnacentral:rRNA from 1 species